rnacentral:rRNA from 1 species
CGAGUGAACCGGGAAGAGCUCAAAUUUGAAAUCUGGCGUCCUCCGGGCGUCCGAGUUGUAAUCUAUAGAAGCGUUUUCCGCGCCGGACCGUGUAUAAGUCUCCUGGAACGGAGUAUCAAAGAGGGUGACAAUCCCGUGCUUUACACGACGACCGGUGCUCUGUGAUACGUUCUCUACGAGUCGAGUUGUUUGGGAAUGCAGCUCAAAACGGGUGGUAAACUCCAUCUAAAGCUAAAUAUUGGUGGGAGACCGAUAGCGAACAAGUACCGUGAGGGAAAGAUGAAAAGCACUUUGGAAAGAGAGUUAAACAGUAUGUGAAAUUGUUGAAAGGGAAACGAUUGAAGUCAGUCGUGUCCAUUGGGUUCAGCCGGUCCCGCCGGUCUACUCCCUUUGGACGGGUCAACAUCAGUUCUGACCGGUGGAUAAUGGCACGAGGAACGUGGCACCCCCAGGGGUGUGUUAUAGCCUCGCGUCGCAUACACUGGUCGGGACUGAGGAACGCAGCUCGCCUUCAUGGCCGGGGUACGCCCACGUACGAGCUUAGG